UAGCAACCGUGGCAAAACAAGGUCUAAC
rnacentral:piRNA from 1 species